GACGAACGCUGGCGGCGUGCCUAAUACAUGCAAGUAGAACGCACAGUUUAUACCGUAGCUUGCUACACCAUAGACUGUGAGUUGCGAACGGGUGAGUAACGCGUAGGUAACCUGCCUGGUAGCGGGGGAUAACUAUUGGAAACGAUAGCUAAUACCGCAUAAUAUUGAUUAUUGCAUGAUAAUUGAUUGAAAGAUGCUAUUGCAUCACUACCAGAUGGACCUGCGUUGUAUUAGCUAGUAGGUGAGGUAACGGCUCACCUAGGCGACGAUACAUAGCCGACCUGAGAGGGGGGACGGCCCAACUGGGACUGAGACACGGCCCAGACUCCUACGGGGGGCAGCAGGAGGGAAACUUCGGCAAUGGACGAAAGGCUGACCGGGCAACGCCGCGUGAGUGAAGAAGGUUUUCGGAUCGUAAAGCUCUGUUGUAAGAGAAGAACGGGUGUGAGAGUGGAAAGUUCACACUGUGACGGUAUCUUACCAGAAAGGGACGGCUAACUACGUG
rnacentral:rRNA from 1 species